rnacentral:misc_RNA from 1 species
CAAAUCCAUUUUUUUUUUUUCUCUUUAAGGUGCCAGCUGAGCGGGUUGGCGAGGUCUCACAACCUUGUCCUUCUGCUCGCUGCCCUUAAGGGAAAAAAAAAACCAUAUACCUCAAAAACCCCUUUGUGCACUGUUGAAAAGGCGUCAACGUGGGGAGUACCCCCGUUAGUCGUCUACCCAUUUCAAAACGCUUUUAUUUUUGUUUUGCCUAAAGGUUUUUGAACCCAAGUGAUUUAAAUAAAUCUAAAAUA